rnacentral:rRNA from 1 species
UACGUAGGGUGCAAGCGUUGUCCGGAAUUAUUGGGCGUAAAGAGCUCGUAGGCGGUCUGUCGCGUCGGCUGUGAAACCCGAGGCUCAACCUCGGGCCUGCAGUGGAUACGGGCAGACUAGAGGUAGGUAGGGGAGAAUGGAAUUCCCGGUGUAGCGGUGAAAUGCGCAGAUAUUAGGAGGAACACCGGUGGCGAAGGCGCCACUCUGGGCCGAAACUGACGCUGAGGAGCGAAAGCAUGGGUAGCAAACAGG